rnacentral:rRNA from 1 species
UACGUAGGCAGCGAGCGUUGUUCGGAGUUACUGGGCGUAAAGGGUGUGUAGGCGGUUUUCUAAGUUUGGUGUGAAAUCUCCCGGCUCAACCGGGAGGGUGCGCCGAAAACUGGGAGACUAGAGUGCGGGAUGGGAGAGUAGAAUUCCUGGUGUAGCGGUGAAAUGCGUAGAUAUCAGGAGGAACACCUGUGGUGUAGACAGCUUACUGGACCAUUUCUGACGCUGAGACACGAAAGCGUGGGUAGCAAACAGG